UACGAAGGGGGCUAGCGUUGUUCGGAAUUACUGGGCGUAAAGCGCGCGCAGGCGGUUCUUUAAGUCAGGGGGGAAAGCCCAGAGCUCAACUCUGGAAUUGCCUUUGAAACUAGAGAACUAGGGUACGGGAGAGGUGAGUGGAAUUCCGAGUGUAGAGGUGAAAUUCGUAGAUAUUCGGAAGAACACCAGUGGCGAAGGCGGCUCACUGGCCCGUUACCGACGCUCAGGCGCGACAGCGUGGGGAGCAAACAGG
rnacentral:rRNA from 1 species